rnacentral:misc_RNA from 1 species
AACACUGUUAACCUGCGGUACCUGCGGAAGGAUCAUUAUAGUAUAUGGAAUCUCCAUUCUAUAAACCCACUCUGCGUAUCUUGUAACUGUUGCUUCCAUGGGACUUGGUUCCGCCACACCGGCUUCACGGCUGGUGAGCGCCCAUGGAAGGAGAAACAAAACUCUUCUUUGAAAUGUAGUCAGUCUGAACAAGUUUUUAUAAACGUUAAAACUUUUAACAAUGGAUCUCAGAUCGGAAGA